GUGUUGUAUGAAAGGAGGGAAGGUUAGCAUUCACCUUGACAAGGAUAGAAGAGGCCCUCAGGCCUUAAAACAUGCAUACAGUUAAGGCAUUGCCACCUAUUUUGUGGCAUCUGCAGUGGGUGAAUAACCACAGUUUUGG
ensembl:snRNA